rnacentral:rRNA from 1 species
GCGACGCCCCUGAGGGAUGAAGCCUUCGGGUUGUAACCUCUUUCAGCAGGGAGAAGCGCAAGUGACGGUACCUGCAGAAGAAGCGCCGGCUAACUACGUGCCAGCAGCCGCGGUAAUACGUAGGGCGCAAGCGUUGUCCGGAAUUAUUGGGCGUAAAGAGCUCGUAGGCGGUUUGUCGCGUCUGGUGUGAAAACUCGAGGCUCAACCUCGAGCUUGCAUCGGGUACGGGCAGACUAGAGUGCGGUAGGGGAGACUGGAAUUCCUGGUGUAGCGGUGGAAUGCGCAGAUAUCAGGAGGAACACCGAUGGCGAAGGCAGGUCUCUGGGCCGCAACUGACGCUGAGGAGCGAAAGCAUGGGGAGCGAACAGGAUUAGAUACCCUGGUAGUCCAUGCCGUAAACGUUGGGCACUAGGUGUGGGGCUCAUUCCACGAGUUCCGUGCCGCAGCAAACGCAUUAAGUGCCCCGCCUGGGGAGUACGGCCGCAAGGCUAAAACUCAAAGGAAUUGACGGGGGCCCGCACAAGCGGCGGAGCAUGCGGAUUAAUUCGAUGCAACGCGAAGAACCUUACCAAGGCUUGACAUGCACGAGAAGCCACCAGAGAUGGUGGUCUCUUUGGACACUCGUGCACAGGUGGUGCAUGGUUGUCGUCAGCUCGUGUCGUGAGAUGUUGGGUUAAGUCCCGCAACGAGCGCAACCCUCGUCCCAUGUUGCCAGCGGGUUAUGCCGGGGACUCAUGGGAGACUGCCGGGGUCAACUCGGAGGAAGGUGGGGAUGACGUCAAAUCAUCAUGCCCCUUAUGUCUUGGGCUUCACGCAUGCUACAAUGGCCGGUACAAAGGGCUGCGAUACCGUAAGGUGGAGCGAAUCCCAAAAAGCCGGUCUCAGUUCGGAUUGGGGUCUGCAACUCGACCCCAUGAAGUCGGAGUCGCUAGUAAUCGCAGAUCAGCAACGCUGCGGUGAAUACGUUCCCGGGCCUUGUACACACCGCCCGUCAAGUCACGAAAGUCGGUAACACCCGAAGCCCAUGGCCCAACCGUUCGCGGGGGAGUGGUUCGAAGGUGGACG